rnacentral:rRNA from 1 species
GACGAACGCUGGCGGCGUGCUUAACACAUGCAAGUCGAACGGAAAGGCCCUGCUUUUGUGGGGUGCUCGUGUGGCGAACGUGUGAGUAACACGUGAGUAACCUGCCCUUGACUGUGGGAUAACUUCAGGAAACUGGGGCUAAUACCGGAUAGGAGCUCCUGCUGCAUGGUGGGGGUUGGAAAGUUUCGGCGGUUGGGGAUGGACUCGCGGCUUAUCAGCUUGUUGGUUGGGUAGUGGCUUACCAAGGCUUUGACGGGUAGCCGGCCUGAGAGGGUGACCGGCCACAUUGGGACUGAGAUACGGCCCAGACUCCUACGGGAGGCAGCAGUGGGGAAUAUUGCACAAUGGGCGGAAGCCUGAUGCAGCAACGCCGCGUGCGGGAUGACGGCCUUCGGGUUGUAAACCGCUUUCGCCUGUGACGAAGCGUGAGUGACGGUAAUGGGUAAAGAAGCACCGGCUAACUACGUG